rnacentral:hammerhead_ribozyme from 1 species
AUCCAGAUGACGAGUCCCAAAUAGGACGAAAUG